UACAUAGGGGCGAGCGUUAUCCGGAAUUAUUGGGUGUAAAGGGUACGUAGGCGGGCUUGCAAGUCUGAUUUGAAAGCACAUGGCUUAACCAUGUGAGGUAAUUAGAAACUACGAGUCUAGAGAGUGGUAGAGGUAAAUGGAAUUCCAAGUGGAGCGGUGAAAUGCGUAGAGAUUUGGAGGAACACCAGUGGCGAAGGCGGUUUACUGGGCCACAUCUGACGCAGAUGUACGAAAGCGUGGGGAGCAAACAGGAUUAGAUACCCCUGUAGUCCCU
rnacentral:rRNA from 1 species